rnacentral:rRNA from 1 species
GACGAACGCUGGCGGCGUGCUUAACACAUGCAAGUCGAACGGAAAGGCCCUGCUUUUGUGGGGUGCUCGAGUGGCGAACGGGUGAGUAACGCGUGAGUAACCUGCCCUUGACUUUGGGAUAACUUCAGGAAACUGGGGCUAAUACCGGAUAGGAGCUCCUGCUGCAUGGUGGGGGUUGGAAAGUUUCGGCGGUUGGGGAUGGACUCGCGGCUUAUCAGCUUGUUGGUGGGGUAGUGGCUUACCAAGGCUUUGACGGGUAGCCGGCCUGAGAGGGUGACCGGCCACAUUGGGACUGAGAUACGGCCCAGUCUCCUACGGGAGGCAGCAGUGGGGAAUAUUGCACAAUGGGCGGAAGCCUGAUGCAGCAACGCCGCGUGCGGGAUGACGGCCUUCGGGUUGUAAACCGCUUUCGCCUGUGACGAAGCGUGAGUGACGGUAAUGGGUAAAGAAGCACCGGCUAACUACGUG